CUGAAGUCUGAAAGUUCUUGAGUUGAGCUUGGGUUUGAGCAGUACAAUUGUAGACUUACCCAAAUCUAGAGUUCCAAUAGCAUACUUUUUGACUCAGCUGUCUGCCAGAUGGAAAGCUCUGAUGGUUCAGGGAAUAAAUAGUCCAAGGGGACUUUGGACUUGAACUUGGUGGGACCCCUGCAUUGUUGUUAUUAUUUGCUUUUGGUUUUAAUGAGUACCAUUGACAUCAAGGGAUGAUGGCUUGGCUUGCAGGUGAAUUGGAUUUAAGUGAAACAGAGUUGUACAAAGCCUUACUCUCUUCCUGAGUCAUCCGUGUCCAGUGGCACAGGACAAAAGUCAAGAAAACUGGCAAUGGCCCAGGAUGCAGUGCGUGACGUUAGUGUCUUCAGUGCCCAACCAAGCUAAUCCGAUGGCAUUUUCCCAUCCCAGAUCUAUUGGAAUUGUCUUGAAUCACCACAUCGCUGAGAAGUACCUCAUCCAUCAUAGUUGAUUAUCGCACAGUCUUGCUGUUAUGAUGUACAGUGUUCUCUUGGUUCUGUUCACUCAGCAUCAGUUCAUGUUUCAUAGUGUUUGGGGGAAGAAAGAUAUGUGCGAUGGCAUGAGAGACUGUUGGUUUGGACAUUUUUUUUCCUCUUUAAGUAUUGCCAUUUACCUGAGUUGUGAUGUUUAAUAAAAGUCAGCAUCAGACCUAAGACUGCUUCUCUCUGAAAGACAUCCAUGGCCAGUGAUGAGAUCCCUUUUCAGUCCUCACCGGAAGUUUUUCGGAAAAGAGUCAUCAAAGUUCAGUACCAGGACAAAGAUCAAGAUGACCAAGAUGACCUGGGAUGCAAUGGAUGACCCUCAGUAUCGUGUCUGACCAAGCUCUAAACACUCCACAGUACCUUCAUCGCCACUGGAACCCAGGCAUGCAGCUAAAGUAAACACUGAAUGUCCACCUUGGAAAAAGUUAGGGGGACCUCAGACUGGGGAACAAUGUCUCUAUCCUUGAAAAAGCUGACAUUUUAGCUCACCCAUCAGAGAAUUAAAACAUGGAAAUUCUUUUUUUUUUUAAUUUAAUUUUAUUUAAUAAUAACUUUGUAUUGACAGAAUCCAUGCCAGGAUCAUUUUUACACAACAUUAUCCCUUGCAAUCACUUAUGUUUUGUUUUUUCCCCUCCCUCCCUCCUCCCCCCCCCCCAAGAUGGCAAGCAGUCCUAUUAUAUGUUAAAUAAAACAUGGAAAUUCUUGAACAACAUGAUUAGACCACAGAUUUUUCAGAGGCUUCUCCUUUAAUCUAAAUUAAAUAUACUAUAUUAUAUAAAUAUAAAUUAAAUAUAAGUAUACUCUCUGGAUUUUUGGUUACAUGAAUAAAUGGAAUGUUUGUAUCUUAUCUUGCCUAUGAGUUUAUGUUCAGUAUGAAAGAUGCUCAGUCCGUAAACGGAACUAAAGUUCAUUUAAAAGGUUUUGCUCCAUUGAUCCCAAAAACAACAUAGAAAAAGGAAAGAAUUAACAAGGAAAUUAGAGUUUACAACGUCAUGGUAUGGAUCUGAAACUCAAUUUAAAGACAAUGAGAAAUUAUUAGGGGCUCUUAAAAGUAAAAAAUGCUAAACAUGCAACUCUGGACACAUUUAUUACUUCAUCUAGAACCCAGAUGAAUGAUUUUAAUUCCUCUUUCUCCAAAAGCAAGAAAAUAGAAGAGUGAUUUUUCACUUAAACAGGGUCCUCAUUUUUGCCAGCUAUCCGAAUCUCUUUCAAGGGUUAACUUAGAAAAAGAAAGCAGAAGUUUAAAAGCCAUGAUAUUGGAAACUGCUGUAUAGAAAUGUUUUGAUUGCUUUGCAACAUUUGGAGGUUAAGUUCUCCUUGAUCAGAAUUCUGUAAUUGCUUAUCCAAGCAAGAUUAAGCCUAGAAUAGUGAGUCCUCUUAGUUUGGUAAAUGACUAUCUAAAGUAUUCAAAUGUAACUAUUCCAGAUUAUGAAAGCGGGAUUUUGCUCAGUGCUGCUGACCUUGGAACGUUUAUCAAUGGAUGUUGCAAUUGGGCUUGAAUAUUACUUUUUCUGGGACUUGAAGAUAUCAUUUCAGUACUGGAAGUAUUGUGAAGGUUCUUCUGUAAAUGAAUAUCCAAGCUGUUCCGGGAACUUAGGAUUCAGGAGAGUUUUAAAAAAAAAAA